AUUGAACGCUGGCGGCAGGCCUAACACAUGCAAGUCGAACGAGUGGCGGACGGGUGAGUAAUGUCUGGGAAACUGCCUGAUGGAGGGGGAUAACUACUGGAAACGGUAGCUAAUACCGCAUACCCUCAGAUGUGCCCAGAUGGGAUUAGCUUGUUGGUGGGGUAACGGAUCACCAAGGCGACGAUCCCUCGCUGGUCUGAGAGGAUGCCCAGCCACACUGAAACUGAGACACGGGCCAGACUCGUACGGGAGGAAGCAGUGGGGAAUAUUGCACAAUGGGCGCAAGCCUGAUGCAGCCAUGCCGCGGGUAUGAAGAAGGCCUUCGGGUUGUAAAGUACUUUCAGCGGGGAGGCGGUACCCGCAGAAGAAGCACCGGCUAACUCCGUGCCAGCAGCCGCGGUAAUAC
rnacentral:rRNA from 1 species